rnacentral:tRNA from 1 species
AGUGGCCGGCUGCCGUCAGCCGCGGAAUCAUGCGGUCAACCCGCACCAUGCGAGUCGGACGCACACCAGGGAUCCUGAAUCCCUGGGUCGCGGGUUCAAGUCCCGCACGCC